GACGAACGCGGCGGCGUGCUUAACACAUGCAAGUCGAACGAUGAAGCCUAGCUUGCUAGGUGGAUUAGUGGCGAACGGGUGAGUAAUACGUGAGUAACCUACCUUUAACUCUGGGAUAAGCCUGGGAAACUGGGUCUAAUACCGGAUACGACCAAUCUCCGCAUGGGGUGUUGGUGGAAAGCGUUAUGUAGUGGUUAUAGAUGGGCUCACGGCCUAUCAGCUUGUUGGUGAGGUAACGGCCCACCAAGGCGACGACGGGUAGCCGGCCUGAGAGGGUGACCGGCCACACUGGGACUGAGACACGGCCCAGACUCCUACGGGAGGCAGCAGUGGGGAAUAUUGCACAAUGGGCGCAAGCCUGAUGCAGCGACGCCGCGUGAGGGAUGACGGCCUUCGGGUUGUAAACCUCUGUUAGCAGGGAAGAAGAGAGAUUGACGGUACCUGCAGAGAAAGCGCCGGCUAACUACGUGCCAGCAGCCGCGGUAAUACGUAGGGCGCGAGCGUUGUCCGGAAUUAUUGGGCGUAAAGAGCUUGUAGGCGGUUUGUCGCGUCUGCUGUGAAAGGCCGGAGCUUAACUCCGUGUAUUGCAGUGGGUACGGGCAGACUAGAGUGCAGUAGGGGAGACUGGAAUUCCUGGUGUAGCGGUGGAAUGCGCAGAUAUCAGGAGGAACACCGAUGGCGAAGGCAGGUCUCUGGGCUGUAACUGACGCUGAGAAGCGAAAGCAUGGGGAGCGAACAGG
rnacentral:rRNA from 1 species